ACGAACGCUGGCGGCGUGCCUAAUACAUGCAAGUCGAACGGUCUUUCUAUGGAAGCUUGCUUCCACUGAGAAGAUAGUGGCGAACGGGUGAGUAACACGUGGGUAACCUGCCCAUAAGAGGGGGAUAACAUCCGGAAGCGGGUGCUAAUACCGCAUAGUUUUCUUGAUCGCAUGAUUGAGAAAGGAAAGACGGCCUUUGUGCUGUCGCUUAUGGAUGGACCCGCGGCGUAUUAGUUAGUUGGUGAGGUAACGGCUCACCAAGACGAUGAUACGUAGCCGACCUGAGAGGGUGAUCGGCCACAUUGGGACUGAGACACGGCCCAAACUCCUACGGGAGGCAGCAGUAGGGAAUCUUCCGCAAUGGACGAAAGUCUGACGGAGCAACGCCGCGUGAGUGAAGAAAAGGUUUUCGGAUCGUAAAACUCUGUUGUCAGAGAAGAACAAGUUGGAGAGUAACUGCUCCAGCCUUGACGGUAUCUGACCAGAAAGCCACGGCUAACUACGUGCCAGCAGCCGC
rnacentral:rRNA from 1 species